GGACCCGCACAGCAGCGGCCUCCUAGUGGCGCUGUGCAGGUUCUUGUGUUUGUUUUUCAGGUGGGUGGAGCUGGAGAGGAGGCUUGCUGCAGCAGGGGUUCAGCUCGUCAGCGGGAUGACUUUCAGCUGCUUGGGGCACUGGCACUAUUUAAGCGACGCCCAGGCUGAGAGUCAGCGCUGGAUCGUAACAUCUACGCCCUUGGGGUUCCGAUCAGCCUGCCGCAGCACCCAGCCUCUCUCAGCCUCUCCAGCCGCCCACCUGCCCUGGACUGUCUCAGGACGCGGAGCCAGGACGCCAAGACCGAAGCUCGCCACCGACUAUUCGGACAGUGCCCACUCGGACCAGCCGCCUGGACUCGCCGCUUCCUGACCCCCCCCAGAAUAAACUGUUCCUGCACUCUUCA